AUUGAACGCUGGCGGCAGGCCUAACACAUGCAAGUCGAGCGAGCGGCGGACGGGUGAGUAAUGUAUGGGGACUGCCCGCUAGAGGGGGAUAACUACUGGAAACGGUGGCUAAUACCGCAUACUAUCGGAUAACCCAUAUGGGAUUAGCUAGUAGGUGGGGUAAAGGCGCACCUAGGCGAGGAUCUCUAGCUGGUCUGAGAGGAUGAUCACCCACAUGGGAGCUGAGACAGGGCCAAUACUCCUACGGACGCAGCAGAGGGGUAUAUUGCACAAUGGGCGCCAGCCGGAGGCAGCCAUGCCGCGUGUAUGAAGAAGGCCUUAGGGUGGUAAAGUACUUUCGGCGGGGAGACGUUAGCCGCAGAAGAAGCACCGGCUAACUCCGUGCCAGCCGCCGCGGUAAUAC
rnacentral:rRNA from 1 species